GUGACACGCGCAUGUUACAAAAACUCACAUGUAAUUUUAUUCCUAGAUUAGGUAAGUCUGACAUUAUUCAUUUGAUUAUUAUUAUUAUUAUUAUUAUUAUUAUUAUUGUUAUUAUCAGUAUUACAAGUAAGAAAUCUAAAUUAUGUCACAAUAAUACUUUCUUUAUGCUCUUAAUCAGAGUCUUUUCCAGUACCAUUAUGGCAACCUCAACAUAUUCUGAGUGUGACAGCUGCGAUGCCUGGUUUUUACCAGAAAGGACCACAAGUCCUAGUUGCUACAUAAACUACUCAUGAAAUCUGCCCCUUGAUGUGGGCACUUGAUUCCAGAAUGGACACGACAAGGCAAUUAGAAAAUAAUGAGGAGAUUGCUGGUUCAUCUGAACUUCCGGUGGAUAUCAGAGAUUGGGCUCCAGAUCAUGUGAGACAGUGGAUGAUUGAGAUAAAAGUGGACAAGGAAGAAGCAAAUAUUGUUUACAAUCAGAAAAUUAAUGGAGCUUGUCUUCUGCUUUUGAAGGAGCCUAAUCUCAGGGAACUAGGCCUGUCAAUGAAUGCAAUAAUACUGAUUGUUCACAAUAAAGGUCUUCUGAAACUAAAGACUCAACAGCAGAAUAAUGUGGUCACUCAUACUAGUAGCUUGAAGCCUUACCCUUUUAAUAGAUUUAAUGAAGCUCACAGGUACAGAGAAAACACUACUCUAGAUGUAACUGAAACUGGUACUAAAGACCUUAUUCAACCCUGUCAUGAAUUCAAAGGCUUCACCAACACAACAGAAAAGCACAGAAGGCAAAAAUACACUUUUGAACUCAUUCGAUUUGCAGCAGCUUGUAUGAACAGCCGCACAAAUGGCACCAUUCACUUUGGAGUUUCAGACGAUCCACACGGACAAAUUCUUGGAGUUGACAUCCCAAAAACAGAUGAGUUUGAUAAUCAACGGAAACAUGCAAUUGAAAAACAUUUUAAAUUGGAAAAGAAUGUUCAGGUAGCAAAGAUGUGCAUUAAACCUCCUCGAUUUGUUGAAGUUCUCAGAGCUGACAUGAUGUCCUCUGGAAAAAGUGUUAUUGAAGUGGAUAUAGAGCCAUCCUAUAAUGUCUGUCAAGACCUUUAUUUCAACACAUAUGAAGUCGAAAAAAGCCAAGAGGAACAAGAACUCAAAAAUAAAAACAAGAUGCCUGAGCCCAAAGCAACAGGCAAGAAAAAAAAUGAAAGCAAGUCUUUCUUUAUAAGAGAUGGCAGCAGCAGUAAGAAUAUCAUAACAUCUGAUUCCUCAAAGGAGUAUGAGAAAUAUCUUGCUAACAUGGAACAUUUAUCCCAGCUAAGGAAGGAAGCUGAAGAAAAGCAUCUUUCCGUUGUCAAAACCAGUGUCCAAGGCUCUAAACUCUGUGAGAUGAUAACAGGAGGGACACAAUCUUUGGACAGGUCACACUUUGAAUCGUACAUUGUGGUGGCCAACAAGUCUCAUCCAGUUCAGCUGGAAAACUUCAGUUUCCUUCUUUACAUGGACCUACUGGCUGUUUUGGAUUUUGAUCCAGAAUCUGCUGAACAUGGCUUGAAUACAUUAUUUGAAAAGAAAAAAAUAAAUCAUCAUUUACCAACUGAGUAUAAACUCACAGGAGUAGUUGAGGACAUAGCAGACAAGCUAAAACUUACCAAGAAUACAAGUUGGGUUUUUUGUAAUGGAGGAAUUAAAAAUGAAAGCCCCUCUGAUGCUGAUAACUGGUUGACUGAAAAAGGAUCCUCUGUGCGUGAUGUUGUUUCUUUCCUGUGCCGAAAAGAUGUGCUGCAUCAUAAAAAGUUUCUUGUCAUAUUCUUGCUAUUAAAUCAGGAAAGUGAUGCCAAUGGCCCUUUGCUUGAGACCUUCAAUAUGUUUUUACAGGAGCUUAAAGGAAGAAACCAAAUCUUAUGCAUCAGUGACAAUGCAACAUCAUACACCUACUGGAAGGAUCUCAUUCAGGGCCGCUAUAGAGUUGACAUCUCUAGGAGAUGCAUUUAUGAACUUAGUUUUGCUGAGGUCAAUGGCACGAUCCUUAGUUUGUGGUCAGAGAACCGCAAAUCAAAACGGUUUCUGCCUGGUUUUAGUGUUAGUAAGGUUUUGCUGGAACAUGAGGACUCAUUUGAUAUGCUGAGUAUUCUUUGUUUGAACCAGUGUGAAGGAGGAAAUGAGGACAAACAACAUCAUGAAGAAAUCUUUUAUAAGGGAGGGAAAGUGUCUUGGUGGAACUUCUACUUCUCAGAACAGCCCGGCUCAAUGCCGUUCAUCAAACGAGACAAGUUUGACUACAUUAUCAACACUAUUAUUCCAGAUAUAUGCAAUUUAGAAAGAUCUUGUGCAUUUUUCAACAUCUUCCAUCUUCCAGGCUGUGGUGCCACUACACUGGCCAUGCAUGUUCUCUGGACACUCAAGAAUAAAUUUCGUUGUGCUGUGUUGCAGGACUCAACAAAUGAUUACACUGCGGCAGCAGAACAGGUAGUGCAGCUACUAACAUAUAAGAAAGAUGAGGAACCCAAACGACUUCCAGUUUUGCUCAUGAUCGAUGACUUCCAAGAUAUAUCUGAUGUCAAAAAAUUCCAACUUCAAAUUGAGGAGGAAUGUCAGAGGCAAAAAAUUUAUUCAAAGUCUCCUCAAGUGGUUAUUGUCAACUGCAUGAGAGUUGAAUCCUUCGAACAAACUGAUGAUACAGUUUUCAUUGAAAACAAUUUAUCUGAAAAGGAACAGAAACUGUUUGAAGAAAAGCUAAAGGAGAUUGAGAAGACCAACAGAAACACUAAAACGUUUUAUGGAUUCAUGAUUCUAAAGUCCAACUAUUCUUCCACGUAUAUACAGGGUGUUGUAAAAAGCACCCUCAUUGGAUUCAAUCUCCAACACAAGCAUGCUCAGCUUUUUGCAGUUCUUGUCCUCUUGCAUGUCUACUGCAAGAAUGCAGUGCUGUCAGUCUCUACAUGUGAAGAGUUCCUUGGUUUGGAAACGAAAGCAGACUCUACAUCCUGCAAUGUGGAAAAUGGGUUCAAGAAGUUUUCCACUCUUUUGAAAAAAUGCCCGGUUGAUUAUAAAAUUUCCUUUGAGGGCGUGCGGGUGAUUCACUCAAGUAUAGCUCAACACUGCUUGAAGGAGCUUUCAGCUUCUCAUGGAGUGACGAAGGCAGAAAUCACUAACAUUCUGCUUACAACAGAGUUAUUUUACGAGUACACUCUGGGAAAACAAAAAUUAAUGCAGGAUGUUCACAGCAUGUUGGUGAGGAGGCAGAAUUCAGUUGAGGCUGAAGACUCCCUUUUUUCUCCACUUAUCCAAGAUAUAAUGAAAGAGACACCAGGGAUGGAAGAAACUGUUCUUCUCAAUGCAGUAAAGUGCUAUAGAAAAGAUGUAGCAAUACCCCAGCUUCUCGCCAGGUACUAUUACAUUAAGAAACAAGACUUUAGUAUGGCCAAGGAUUGGGCAAAGAAAGCCAAAGACCUUUCAGGGGAGAACUCAUACAUGUGUGAUACAGUAUCACAGGUAUAUGUGAAUGAGCUGAAAUGUGCUUUUCGCGAAGAUAAAGAUGAUCCCAUCAGCCCAAACAGUCUUGAUAGAUAUCUUACAUUGGCUAAGACGGCAACAGAAGCUUGCAAAGAAACACAACAAACAGCAAACAAAGAAGCCAUUACUCGACUGCAAAGACAAAAGGAUUAUACUACCUACAACACUGCUGGCCAUUUCUGUGAACUUCAAGUUGCAGCUACAGUCAUAGAAAUCCUGCAAAAGACACCACCGUAUAAAUCACAGUCAGAGCUAGCGGGAUCAAACACAAAACAGUCGACUGAUGCAGAGAGUGAGCCAUAUUACCAAGUACUGGGGAGGCAUGUCGACUUUCUAACUCAACAUAAAGCAAUGAUGAAGCAAGAUUUUGUUUUUCUUGAGACCUUUUUUGUCAACUUGGUUCCCUUUUUUGCCGGGAAAGACAAACAAAAAGAGGCAAUCAAGCACAAGGUUUGCAAAUAUUUUCAACAGUAUACUGAAGUCUUCUGUAAAAUCAAUUGGAGUGAGCUACGUAACAAAGAGUUUAUGAACCGACCAAAUAAAAUAGCUCAGAUUCAUGAAUGUCUGGAGAAGAACAGGGGUGAUACAUAUACUGGCCUUCUGGAAUACUUGUAUGAGGAAAAUUCUUCAUCAACUCUUGAAGAGAUCAUCCAGCAGUAUCGUUUCUUUCUGGAUCCCAAAACAGAGGACAGAGAAGUAAUGGAUACUAUCAACUUUAUUUAUGCCAAUGUAAUUCUAGCCAACAUCAAACCUAAAUCUCAGUACAUCAUGCCCUACCAAGACCUUCGUAAAUUGCUCCUGAAUUUAAUCACUUGGCCAAGAUCAUUCAGUGAGAUUCUGCCAUUGUACUACAUCUCAAUUGUGUUAUUAUGGCAAGAAGCCCACCGUGACUUGCCAACAUUUGUCUCACAAAUGAAGGCAUCAUAUUCAAAGGAGCUGAAACCUCUAUCUAAUGGAAAGAGAGCAGCGGUCCACUUUUACUUAGGAAAGGAUAGAGGUUAUGGUGGACUACUUUCCUAUAGGGAUAUUAACCGCUGUUUAGGACCAGGGGAGGACAUCUUAACUCAGUGGGACAAUGAAAAAAUAUGGAAGACAGUAAGAAACAGUAAGAAGCUUCAAAGAAUUUCAGGUGAAAUUCGCAACAAUUUGAUCUGGGUUGCCGAUGUGAAGGUUUAUGUUGAUCCAAUGUUUGUAACUCAGUUACGCAAAGGAUCUGGAGCCCGUGUGACAUUCUUCAUUGGAUUCUCAAUGAAUGGACCAGUGGCACUUGACAUAUUGUAAUUCAUAAGAAUCAACAGAAUGAUCUACAGAUCUACAAAUAUAUCUACAAAGACUAAACUUUCUUAAUUUCCAUUAAUACAAUUAAAACUCAAAGGGACUCAUGGACUGAAAGGUCUCUAAUUGUUUUGACAUGUUAUUUUAGUUUGCCUCGUUUUUAUAUCUUGUACAUACCAAUAUAAAGCAAUGUUUAAUCACUGACAUUGCAAGCUUGCAAGCUUUGUUUUAGCAGAAAUGUCAGAUUUGAUGUGAACCUUAUGCUUCCCAUAUGAGCAGGAUGAGCCUUUGGAACCCUAUUGGCUUGAGACUAAUGGUCUCAUUCACUUCCAUAAGUUUUAAUUGUAAAAACACCUUGUUAUGCAGCUUGAUGUUGCAAACUGAUAUUUUGUAAUUGCAUAACUUUUAGUUUUUUGUAUUGUCAUGAACACACUUGUUUGUCGGAAGUUCUAAACCGAUCACCGAAACAAGCGCACUUCUGCAUUGCAGAAUAAGGUCAAUAUUAGCAUUUGCAUGAGAUGUGACUAAGACACUGGUCACUGCCAGUAAAACAUUGAAUUCAAGAGAGACUUUUGUGCUGUACUUCACUUAAACUGGGUUUUCUACUGUUUGUUUGGGUUUUUACAAGUGUUUUACAUGUAUUUUGAGUUGUUUGGCAGUGUUUUUGGUCUUUGGAUAUGUAAUGAAUAGAAGAGGUACUGGUAUUUUGCUGUUUAUCCAUUUGUUCGGGAAUAAUGUUUAAGCAACAUUUUGCCCUUGUUUUUUCUAUUUACUUCUGUACAUUGUUUUUCUGUAAUAUGUGUAACAAAAAAAGUCAUAAAUCCCUGUUAACAAGCAGAAUAUAUCUAUGCCCUUGUGGUUGAAAGACAUAAUGUAUUUAAGUUAAAGGUUACCGAAUAAAUAUAUUUCUUAUCAGUUUUUUUUCUGACUGACACUCAUUCUUCUGCAUCUAGACAUGCCAGGUAUGUGUCUGAUAUACAAUUGCAUUUCAUAAUCAUAUAUAUAUAUAUAAUAAAAAAAAAAAUAAAAAAAAAUAUAUAUAUUCAUUCAUUCAUUUUCUUGUCGGCUUAGUCGCUUUAUUAAUCCGGGGUCGCCACAGCGGAACGAACCGCCAACUUAUCCAGCAAGUUUUUACGCAGCGGAUGCCCUUCCAGCCGCAACCCAUCUCUGGGAUAUAUAAAUAUAUAUAGUUGAAGUCAGAAUUAUUAGCUCUCCUUUGAAUUUUAUUUUUAUUUUUUUUAUAUUUCCUAAAUGACGUUUAACAGAGCAAGGACAUUUUCACAGUAUGUCUGAUAAUAUUUUUUUCGUCUGGAGAAAGUCUUAUUUGUUUUAUUUCAGCUAGAAUAAAAGCAGUUGAAAACUUUUUUUAAAAAUAAUUUUAAUGUCAAAAUUAUUAGCCAAUUUUAGCUUUUUUUUUUCAAUAGUCUAUGGAACAAACCAUCGUUGUACAAUAACUUGCCUUAUUACCCUAACCUGCCUAGUUAACCUAAUUAACCAAGUUAAGCCUUUAAAUGUCACCUUAAGCUAAAAGAUCAAAUAAAUCUAUUAUUAGAAAUGAGUUAUUAAAACUAUUAUGUUUAGAAAUGUGUUGAAAAAAUCUCUAUUAAACAGAAAAUGGUGGUGGGGUGGGGAUGGGGGGGUUGGGGGAGAGAAUAAACAGGGGGGCAAAUAAUUCAAGGUGGCUAAUAAUUCUGACUUCACUUUCAACUUUAUAUAUAUACACACACACACAAGUCAGAAUUAUUAGCCCCCCGCCCUGUGUGUGUGUGUGUGUGUGUGUGUGUGUGUGUGUGUGUGUGUGUGUGUGUGUGUGUGUGUGUGUGUGUGUGUGUGUGUGUGUGUGUGUGUGUGUGUGUGUGUGUGUCUGUGUGUAUGUAUGUAUGUAUGUAUGUAAGUAUAUAUAUAUGUAUGUAUGUAUGUAUGUAUGUAUGCAUAUAUAUGUAUGUAUGUAUGUAUGCAUGUA
ensembl:lincRNA